rnacentral:rRNA from 1 species
GACGAACGCUGGCGGCGUGCUUAACACAUGCAAGUCGAACGGACCUUAGCAUCAAGCUUGCUUAAUGCGAAAGGUUAGUGGCGGACGGGUGAGUAACACGUGGAUAAUCUGCCUAUGACACAGGGAUAACACUGUGAAAAACGGUGCUAAUACCAGAUACGUUUAUCGAAUCGCAUGGUUUGAUAAAGAAAGGAGCAAUCCGGUCAUAGAUGAGUCCGCGGCUGAUUAGCUAGUUGGUGAGGUAACGGCUCACCAAGGCGAUGAUCAGUAGCCGGCCUGAGAGGGUGAACGGCCACACUGGGACUGAGACACGGCCCAGACUCCUACGGGAGGCAGCAGUGGGGAAUCUUCCGCAAUGGACGAAAGUCUGACGGAGCAACGCCGCGUGGGUGAAGAAGGCCUUCGGUUGUAAACCCUGUCUUAUGGGAAGAAAAAUAGACGGUACCAUAGGAGGAAGACCACGGACUAACUACGUGCCAGCAGCCGCGGUAAGA